rnacentral:rRNA from 1 species
GACGAACGCUGGCGGCGUGCCUAACACAUGCAAGUCGAACGGGGAUACAGGAGAGUGCUUGCACAAACCUGUAUUCUAGUGGCGGACGGGUGAGUAACGCGUGAACAAUCUGUGCAUGACAGGGGGACAACCCGGAGAAAUCCGAGCUAAUACCGCAUAAGACCCCGAGGUCGCAUGGCCUAGAGGUAAAAGGAGCAAUCCGGUCAUGGGUGAGUUCGCGUCCCAUUAGCUAGUUGGCAGGGUAAGAGCCUACCAAGGCGACGAUGGGUAGCCGGCCUGAGAGGGCGAACGGCCACACUGGGACUGAGACACGGCCCAGACUCCUACGGGAGGCAGCAGUGGGGAAUAUUGGGCAAUGGGCGAAAGCCUGACCCAGCAACGCCGCGUGAGGGAAGAAGGUUUUCGGAUUGUAAACCUCUGUCAUUCGGGAAGAAGGAAGUGACGGUACCGAAUGAGGAAGCCCCGGCUAACUACGUGCCAGCCGC